CAAGUCGAGCGCGUCUUCGGACGAGCGGCGGACGGCUGAGUAACACGUUAGUAGCUACCCCCUACUCAGGGAUAACCAUUGGAAACGAUGGCUAAUACCGGAUGGUCCCGAAAGGGUAAAGAUUUUUCGGUAGGGGAGGUGCUUGCGGCCUAUCAGCUUGUUGGUGAGGUAAUGGCUCACCAAGGCUAUGACGGGUAACUGGUCUGAGAGGAUGAUCAGUCAGAGGGAAACUGAGACACGGUUCCCACUCC
rnacentral:rRNA from 1 species